GUACGAGAAAGGGUCCCUCGGGACCUGAGUAAAGUGGCGCACGGGUGAGUAACGCGUGGAUAAUCUGCCCUUCAGUUGGGAAUAACUCAUCGAAAGGUGGGCUAAUACCGAAUAAUGCUGUGAGACUUCGGUCGAUCAGCCAAAGAGAGCCUCUGCUUGCAUGCCCUUGCUGAAGGAUGAGUCCGCGUACCAUUAGCUAGUUGGUAGGGUAAUGGCCUACCAAGGCGACGAUGGUUAGCUGGUCUGAGAGGAUGAUCAGCCACACUGGAACUGAGACACGGUCCAGACUCCUACGGGAGGCAGCAGUGAGGAAUCUUGCGCAAUGGGGGAAACCCUGACGCAGCAACGCCGCGUGAGUGAGGAAGGUCUUCGGAUCGUAAAGCUCUGUCGGAUGGAAAGAACCGCAUAGGGGUAAAUAGCACCUAUGUCUGACGGUACCAUCAAAGGAAGCACCGGCUAACUCCGUGCCAGCAGCCGCGGUAAUACGGGGGGUGCAAGCGUUGUUCGGAAUUAUUGGGCGUAAAGAGCGUGUAGGCGGCCUGAUGUGUCAGAUGUGAAAGCCCUGGGCUUAACCCAGGAAGUGCAUUUGAAACUGUCAGGCUUGAGUAGGG
rnacentral:rRNA from 1 species